rnacentral:rRNA from 1 species
GGCAGCAGUGAGGAAUAUUGGACAAUCGACGAAAGUCGGAUCCAGCAACGCCGCGUGGAUGAUGAAGGCCUUCGGGUUGUAAAAUCCUUUUAAGAGGGAAGAGGAAGGACGGUACCUCUUGAAUAAGUUUCGGCUAACUACGUGCCAGCAGCCGCGGUAACACGUAGGAGGCUAGCGUUAUCCGGAUUUAUUGGGCGUAAAGCGCGCGCAGGCGGCUGGGUAAGUCGGGUGUGAAAGCCCCGGACUCAAUCCGGGGAGGUCAUUCGAUACUGCUCGGCUUGAGAGCGGGAGAGGGAAGCGGAAUUCUGGGUGUAGUGGUGAAAUGCGUAGAUAUCCAGAGGAACACCAGUGGCGAAGGCGGCUUCCUGGCCCGUUUCUGACGCUGAGGCGCGAAAGCGUGGGUAGCGAACGGAAUUAGAAACUCCGGUAGUCCACGCCGUAAACGAUGGGUACUAGGUGUGGGGAGUAUUAACCCUCUCCGUGCCGCAGCUAACGCGUUAAGUACCCCGCCUGCAGACUACGGCCGCAAGGCUAAAACUCAAAUGAAUUGACGG